GAUGAACGCUGGCGGCGUGCCUAAUACAUGCAAGUCGAGCGAAUGGAUUAAGAGCUUGCUCUUAUGAAGUUAGCGGCUGACGGGUGAGUAACACGUGGGUAACCUGCCCAUAAGACUGGGAUAACUCCGGGAAACCGGGGCUAAUACCGGAUAACAUUUUGAACCGCAUGGUUCGAAAUUGAAAGGCGGCUUCGGCUGUCACUUAUGGAUGGACCCGCGUCGCAUUAGCUAGUUGGUGAGGUAACGGCUCACCAAGGCAACGAUGCGUAGCCGGCCUGAGAGGGUGAUCGGCCACACUGGGACUGAGACACGGCCCAGACUCCUACGGGAGGCAGCAGUAGGGAAGCUUCCGCAAUGGACGAAAGUCUGACGGAGCAACGCCGCGUGAGUGAUGAAGGCUUUCGGGUCGUAAAACUCUGUUGUUAGGGAAGAACAAGUGCUAGUUGAAUAAGCUGGCACCUUGACGGUACCUAACCAGAAAGCCACGGCUGACUACGUGCCUGCAGCCGCGGUAA
rnacentral:rRNA from 1 species